ensembl:lncRNA
CUCACUCCUCAAAACCUCACUCCUCAAAACCUCCCUUCUCAAAACCUCACUCCUCAAAACCUCACUCCUCAAAAUCUCUCUUCUCAAAACCUCCCUUCUCAAAACCUUCCUUUUCAAAGUCUCACUCCUCAAAAUCUCUCUUCUCAAAACGUCACUCCUCAAAAUCUCCCUUCUCAGUCUCCCUUCUCAAAACCUCCCUUCUCAUCUCUCUUCUCAAAACCUCCCUUCUCAGUCUCUCUUCUCAAAACCUCCCUUCUCAAAACCUCCCUUCUCAAACAUGCUGGCAAUGUUCUCUUCAGAAGACACUGCUUCCUUCAUUCCACAUUAAUAUUUAUUGCUAGUUAAUUAAGGAGGAGUUUUCAGAUAUUAUCGGAGGUUUGACAUUCAUAGAAUAUUUACAAUAGCUUUGAUGUAUAGAGUUGGGGAAACGAACACUUGCCUCAGGGUGCCUGUUGAGAAACAGAAUUGUCUUGUGCUGUGCGAUUCCUUUUGAUAAGUCAAUGAUAUGAGUCACAAAUAUGGUUAUUGUUUGUUGUUGUUGCAAAAUAGUGGUCGUAAGUUGUGACUUUAGUGACUUCAAUAACUUUUCAAAGCCUGUGUGAUUUUGGCACCACAGUCUUGAGGUUGGAGUACCUCUAGGCAUCACCAUAUGCCUUAUCUCUGGUGUACAAUAUAUCUUUAUGUGUAGAGUUGGACACACAAGGCUUUUGCAUUCAUUGACAUGAUGAUAAUCGCUGCUAAGCCACACUUUCCCUUAUUAAUCUGACCCCAGUGUCACAGCAGCCCUUCCGUCACCUCUCGUCAACUAUCUGCUCUAUCUUUACCCUGCUUCACAGAAUACCAUUUCCUCUCCCAGGUCUCCCGGUGUUGCUAGCAGAAGUCAGUGGUUAGUCUGUGGUUUGUUGACUGUAUCUGUCGUUGUUGUUCUGGGAAGUAGACUGUUUUACUGAGAGCAGAGUCAGUUGUUUCCUCAGUGAUCGGAGGGUAGGGUACAGACUGACUCCUUGGAAUAACAAACAGUCUGUGGAACCAGGCCAGAGAUAACAGUGUCCCUGUCUCCUGCCCUAGAGGUGCUGCUUACAGGACCUACGCAGGCUGCGUCAGAAAUAACACACUCUUCCCUAUCUAGUGCACUACUUUUGACCAGGAUCCUAAGUGGUCAGCCAGUAAAUAUGAAUGAGACAACAGGUGGACUGAGAUGAGAUUGAGAUGUUUCUGAUCAGGAUGUGAUUGCUGGUGGGUCUUUGGAUCUCAGUGAAGUUUUCCAGAGUUUUUCCAAAGUAAACGGAAGUCUGGAUCGUUCAGGAAAUCUGACUAGACACUGACCUGGUUCUACGGAUGUUGAUGAUGUCUGAUUCGCUAAGUUUCUCUCUCUUUCUAUCUCUCUUCUCUCUCUGUAUCUCUCUCUUCUCUCUCUGUGUCUCUCUCUUCUCUCUCUGUAUCUCUCUCUUCUCUCUCUGUCUCUCUCUUCUCUCUCUGUAUCUCUCUUCUCUCUCUGUAUCUCUCUCUUCUCUCUCUGUAUCUCUCUCUUCUCUCUCUG